GUAAGAAGUCAGCAGUCUCUGACCCAGAAGAGAGCUCUCACCAGAACCCCACCAUGCUGGCACCAGGAUCUCAGCUAGCCUGGAGAUGUGUGCUCCAGGAUCAGACCGUGCUCAUAAAGGCUAUAGAAUGUGUGGAUGUAUUCCCUCUAACCGACAGGGUGGGCGAUGGCUGGAUUCUUCUCGAACUCCAGGUACCCAAUCCUGGUUUGAAGCCGAUGUCUCAUCAGAGAAGCAUUUGGUAGCCUCAUCUUUCCUCCCAUGCCUGAAGGCCCGGGGAGGGCCUCUGGGGGAUGUGAUUCUCCCACUUGCCUACCACGGGGGAAAGCCUGGCUGAGAAGACUUUCGAAGUCCUAACCAACCCCAAGUCCUCUAGUAGGUAAAAAACGAAGUGACAGAAACAGCGAGGCCACCAGCAAUCAGCCUGAACUCUGUCCUCACUGUGCCUCUAACAAAGCAAUGAAGAGCAAUGGGCCAUGCCAUCCAUAAGCUGGUGUCUUUAGCCAGCGGUCCCCAGGCAGUGUGUGAAAUCGGAGCCACACAGACCACAAGGCCCCUGCCGGUUGCUUUUUCGUUCCCAUCUACCUGCACGGAAAAUCCUGCCACUGGUACUUGGAUUCACAAAGGACAUCCUGGGUCCAUUUACUGAGGAGGUUAACCAGUGCUCUCCGUGGGCCCUGGGGUUCACGGGGACAGCAGCUACACGCAACAUUUUAAUGAAGACCAGCGUUUCGGAAGUAAGUCCUGUUACAAAGACAAAGCGUGAUGCUGGAGAAGACCAAGGCCAAGAACCAAGGUCUGGCACUCGGCCUUAGAGACCUGAAGAACCAGGGUAGCCCUGCAGAUUAAAUGAGAGAGCCAAACAAAUGCCUGGCACAGUGAGAGCACGGAGUCAGCCUUGGGAAACAGCUCAUUGCAAUGGGAAGAACUCUGGAUUGGGGUUCAGAACUCCUUGCUUCCCAUCUCUGCUGGUUACCAGCUGCGUGAAUUAAGGCGAGUGACUUAAUCCCUCUGAAUCUCAGUUAACCUAUCUGUAAAAGGGCAAGUUGGUACCUCUCUGGUCUUGGUUGCUCCAGGAGCAUUUAUGAACAGCUUCAAGACAUAAAGACAAGACACGCCCGGGGAGGGCAGGAAGGCCGAAGUUGUGAGAACUCAUAAGCAGCCAGGACAGGACCUGGGCCUGAGUGCUUUCUGGGCACAGGGACAAGGAAAGGCCCAAACUGUGGUUGCAGAAAGGAUGCCCAUGCAGAGCAAGGGAGGCACAUUUCUUCUCCCUGCAGUCUUCAAACAAAGCUCUGGCUUGGUGGAGGUGGCGUCAGGGGACAAGAUUCCAGAAGUCACUUAUUCAAAGAACUUAAAUCUGGGCUCUGACUUGCUCCUGGGCUCCUUCAUCCAGCACAGGCACACAAGAAUCCAGGAGGGUGUGUGUGGGGUGGGGUGGCUGGAGCUUCCUGGCAUGCGUCUUUCAAAUGCCCCCAGGCCAUCCUGGGAUCUUCUUCCUCUUGGAGCACCAUGUGUCAUUGAAGAUAAAGGGGAACACAUGACCAGAGGACUCAGAUCUGCAGGGCCCCCAAGGGGAGUUUAAGCUGAUCAAAAAUGCUCCAAAAGGGUGAAGUGGAGCUAUCGUCUUGUGACCGGAGUCUGUUCCCCACAAGCUCUUCCCUCUUGGAGGAACCACCUUGGGGUCAAGUGAAGGAGAAAUGGGACACAUGGUAGGAAGAAAAGGCAAGGUCCACAGCCCCCCUGCGGCAGAUGAAGCCAAAGUAUCGCUCUCGUCUCGGGCUCGGGAAACACUACGAAGGGUUAGCUGUACGCUAAGCUCUUGGGGAAUGCUUCGAGGCAUUUAGCCUAUAAUUUUCAUCCAUCACCCAGUGGCCUCGUCUAAGACACAGUGGCCACCUCCAAGAUGCUUCAGGUCUUGCAAGGCAAAGACUAUUAUGAUAGAAUCUGUUGGAUGCUAAAUUGGGAAGACAGUGGGUCCAAGCAAAGCUCGGUGGGAAUGGGAGGAUGACCAUAUGGAGGAGAUGGCGUCUGAGCCGGGCCGUAAGGGUGAGGCACAUUUCUUCUCCAUUAAAUAUUCAAAUGCAGCACUGGUUCUCCACGGUGGGCGUGGCGUCGGGGGGAGAUUUCAGAAUGUCGCUUCUGAGGAGAUUGGGCUGGGGGUGAGACAGGGGAGAAAGGGUAUGUGCCACUGGACAAGGCUGUCACAUCCCUACACCCCGAAGAGACCUAGGUUGUACUGGGACUGACUUGUGCCUGUGGACCCUGCCUGGUGAACCUGGGCAGAUUUCAACUAUGCACACUUGGAGAGGCUGGCUUUGGCCCCACAAUCCCACUGAGCUGUGGCAGCAAAGUCAACUGAUCUGAGUAUCUAGAGGAGACAAGACUGAGAAGAGCCCGCUUGGAACUCUCGACCGUCACUCUAGUUGUGUGUGUCUGCCCCGUACAACCUGGGGGGCUCCUGGUUGACACGCAAGCACCUCCGAAUUCUCUCCUGCAGUGUGACGAUGGCGGUCUAGGUCUUUAAAAUAACCCAUCCAUCGAUCAAACACAGACACCAAGGAGAAUGAUCCUGGGAAGAUACCUUUGCUUGAAUACAUUUUUUUUAAAUCCUCAAAGGAAUAAAACGUAUACAAUUUGGAUUAUUCCUGUGACAGAUGAGCUCCUUCAAAUAAGGGAAUUAAGUCCCUAAUUGGAAUUAAAGGAAGAAAAGAUAUGUCCCAAUGACAUUCCUCUGUACCUUCCUCCAACCAGGCAAUGGACCAAUACGGAAAGUCGUUUGCCUCGUUAUUCUGGAACAAAUUUACACUUGUCUUAGGAAACAGGCUAAGUUUUUCCAAUAAUUUAGAGAAAGCAUGUCCUAGUCGCUGUGUGUAACCCACACAUGUGCGAUAACAGUGCACACAGCACACCCACGGAAAAAAAUAACAGUGCUUUUACUUAAGAGAAAGGAAGGAUAAUGGUUACUUAGAAAGUGUCCCAGACAAGCUGUCAAAUUGAAUUCAGAGAGCUGGAGUCUGACUCCGGGACAGGGCUGGCUGGCUAAAUUCCCUUGGGAUUGGGGUUUCCUGCCUGCUACAGUUUGGAGACAACCAUUCUUUGUUUCCAGCUCACUCACUCGCUCUCUCUUUCAAUCUCUCUCUGGUGAACACACACACACACACACACGUACGUACGCACACAAAAACAUGUAGCUCUCCAAAGAGGGUCAGAUCGAAAGCAGACAAAACAUUAACUCUGGAAUUUCAAAGAAAAACAGUUUAAAAAAAAUAAAAUGGAGAGAGCAAGCUACUGUCUAUUCUAGAAUCAUAAAUCUUGCCUUUGGACCACAGAAACAGCACACGCUCUCCCUCUCUCUCUCACACACACACUCAGCAAUCACCCCUGCUUUGCUAAAAAUGGAUUAGGGGUAUUUCAUCAUAAAGGAAAAACAUAUAAUGACAAAGUUCUUAACGGGCCCUCCUGUGAGGCCUUAAUACCCUCAAAUUUUAAGUGCAUGUUGGUUGACACAGACAGAGCCUGUGGAACCAUAUAACCUGCUACAUAAGAGAUGUUAUUUACUCCCUAAAAAUAACAGGAGAUUACCUCAGAGUAUUACAGGCCUUUUCCUACGGGGACACGUGUUCCAGACCAACCCCCAUGUGCCACCCUAUCCGGGGCAUGCCCGUGCCCGGCACCACGCUCACCCUCCCCUUCCGCAGAGACACUGCACCCGGGAGGCCGCCCGAAGCCCACCGUCCCCCAAGUGCUGUACUCGAAGACACGUCACCCUCAUUCGCUACGUGAUACACACCGUGCGUAGCUUUGGGAAUAAAUAUUCUGAACUCCUCUCUGCUUCUUUUUUUCCCCAUCAAAACAAA